rnacentral:rRNA from 1 species
CAGUAGCCACGGUAAUACGUAGGUCCCGAGCGUUGUCCGGAUUUAUUGGGCGUAAAGCGCGCGCAGGUGGCUUAAUAAGUCUGAUGUGAAAGCCCACGGCUCAACCGUGGAGGGUCAUUGGAAACUGGUUGACUUGAGUGCAGAAGAGGAGAGUGGAAUUCCAUGUGUAGCGGUGAAAUGCGUAGAUAUAUGGAGGAACACCGGUGGCGAAAGCGGCUCUCUGGCUUGUAACUGACGCUCAUGCACGAAAGCGUGGGGAGCAAACAGGAUUAGAUACCCGGGUAGUCCCUGUCUCUUAUAC